CAGUAGCCGCGGUAAUACGUAGGUGGCAAGCGUUGUCCGGAUUUAUUGGGCGUGAAGCGAGCGCAGGCGGUCAAUUAAGUCUGAUGUGAAAGCCCCCGGCUCAACCGGGGAGGGUCAUUGGAAACUGGGAAACUUGAGUGCAGAAGAGGAGAGUGGAAUUCCACGUGUAGCGGUGAAAUGCGUAGAGAUGUGGAGGAACACCAGUGGCGAAGGCGACUCUCUGGUCUGUAACUGACGCUGAGGAGCGAAAGCGUGGGGAGCGAACAGGAUUAGAUACCCGUGUAGUCCCUGUCUCUUAUAA
rnacentral:rRNA from 1 species